CCAUGUAUACGAUGCAUAUUCGGAGAAGAAGAGAAAGAAAAAGGAAACGUUGGAAGAAGAAAUCUACCGUACUAGUUCGGUUGGUGAGACCAAAAACAUUUGUGGAAUACUCAUUUGAGCAAGGAUAGUAACACGAGAUGAGGGUAUCGAAGGAAGAGGAUCAUAAACACGGAUAAGGCCUCGACCUCGAUCCUUCAUUUCUAAUUGUAACAUCAACCGCGCGCAUUCCGGAAAACGUUACAAUUUUUUCUAGUUUUUUUUUAUUUCUCAUUGUAGUUAUCUAUUGAUUUUUCAGUUUCAAUAUAUUGUGAUUUCACAAUAAGAGGAUUUCCAAUUUGUAAAACUAGUUUCAAGGAAUUAUAUAUUUGCAUACAAUGUUGAUCGAUUA